AUCGAUCAACAGAAGAACGAACCGGCGGCGGCGGCGGCGGCGACCUAGAGGCCGGUGGGCUCCUUGUCGAUUCCUUCUCCACCUUUCCUCCUACCUCCACCCCCUUAGUUCUAGAACCCUUCUAGAACUUGUAUUUCUCUUUCUUCUUCUCAUGUUCUCCACCAAGCAAAGAGUUGUAUUGAAUAUUGGUUGCAAUUUCAUUUAGAGAAGUGGGUUGCUAACAAUCUGGUAUCAGAGCCGUCGAUUCGUGGGAUUUCUAGCAUGGAGUUGAUUGGGGAGCACUGCAACAACACCCCAUGCGAGUGGUUGCUGGAUUUGGGCAAAGGUGGUGCUCAUGACACCAGCGCCCACCACCUGUUCGAUGGAAUGCCAAGCCAACCUGAGAUGCCCAAGGAGGAUCGGAGGAUAUCUGAGCCCGUUCCCAUCAAUACCACCGUGAAUAAAGAGGAGAAAUGGCUAAAUGAAGCUCUAGAUCGGAUAUUGGAGAAGUUUGAACAAAUGGAGGUCAAGCGUAGGUGUGAUGAGAAGAUUGAUCGGAUUUUGGAGAAUUUGGACGAGAUAGAAGCUAAUAGGAACAAGUUCUGCGAGGAGAUGAGUGCCUCCAUCAAGGCGACCACUGCUGCCCUCACGGCUGCGUCGUAUCUUCCACUCCAGGAGCCACCUUCUCCGACGCCCACCACUUGUUCGAUGAGGUGCUCCAACACUGACCACCUUCGGGCGACGUCGGGCUCAAGCCACAUCGACAAGGAGACAGCUCCGUCGGUCGUCACGGAGGUUGGGGAUAGCAAGGACAAGGAUCACGCCCCCUGCAUUGUCACCAAAGAUCUCCCCAAGAUCACGCCCGCCAGGUGUUCGACAUUGGAUCUCGAUGUCAAUACUGAUAUUUACCAUGCUGUGGUUGUGUUCCCUCUCAUGGAUAGCCCCUUAGAGCUCAUCACAGGAUUCAUUGAACCAUCACCAGUAGUGGAGCUGAAGCUUGACAGCAUCAUCGGAAUGAAAAAAGAGGUGCCCAACGGGUGUUCGAUGAAAUGCCUAAAAGAUGACAACAUGCUGUUGAUGGAGAACCCCAAAAGGAAUCCAUGGCCACCUCCUUGGUUAGAUGGAGUGAUUAGAGGCAGGGACUUAAGGCCUUCACCAUGGCCGGGAUUCAUUUCCGGAGGGACAGUGGAACACUUGGUGCCACCAUGGCCACCACCAACUCAGAUAAGCUGUCUUGCACUUGUAUGUUAUGAUAAUGGAAUGAUUUUCACUGAGAUGAAGUAUAUUAAUUUGCACUGGGGUGAAUUGAAACCAUGGCCUCCACCAAAUCAGUCAGAUUUCAGACAUACUAUGGUUCAGUUUGAGCAAUGUCAGUCCUGGAAAAUUGGAGUUAUAAUUGGUCUACUUGCUUGGAAGAAACAAUUGAGUUCUGUAAAUCAUGGAAGCUACACUACCAUUGGAAAUUCUAGAAUGCCUAAGCUUACCAUGGAAAAGAGAUCAUAUAUGUUGAAUGCUUCAGAUGGUAAUGGUACAUUUUGGCCCAUGGGGUAUUGGCAAUGCACAUCUCUUCCUAUUAGGCACAUUGGAAAUUAUGUCCUGCAUUGGCUGUCAGUAUACAUGACAUGGCCACAGCUUAGGACAGGAAGGGUGUGUUCCAAUGAAACGAAGAUGAAGAUGCUAAUUUAUGGGAUCCAUGAACUAUACAAGAAUAGAUGUGGUAUGAUCCCAAGGGAAGGGAAUAUGCAUGAACAAGGUUAUGGUUAUUACUAUCUGCUUCUUGUGAAAUUAUUUGCACUGAAGAUUGGCAAGCAAACAAGAUUUGGGGUACUGCAGGAAUUAAAGCAUUCCUUGUUGGUGCUAUUUACUCAAGAUUUAGGUGAUGAUGAGGUUGGUCAACACAUUAUUUUGUUGGAUUGUCUGAAUCUAAUGCAUUGCUUUCAAUUAAGGAAUAAUUGGUGGCUUGAGUCAUUAUCCAGUAAACCAGUCAAACUCUUGUAUGAACUGUGGUCACUUUGGGUUUCAUCCAUUUGUGUGGUUGAGAAUAAAGAUGACUUUAUACAGUUAGCUGGACAUCAGUUCACACCCUAUAUGAUGGCACAAUACAUUGAGGCUAUUGAACAUGGACUUAUUGAUGGGAAUGGAUGGGAUGCCAACAAUGUUCAUGAUACCUAUGGCUGCAAAGAAAGGAUGUCUGUGACUGUUAUACUGAAAGAUGGUACUGACAUAUGGAAAUUAAAAGGAAUAAAGAAAAGUGCAAUCAAGAAUAUUAUUUCAGUAUGGAAGAGUGCUUUUACUCCGGCCAUCAAAUCAUUAUCCCAAGGAAACAAACCAUUCUGCAUUUACAAGCCAAAUGUUAGUAACUGCUUGCCAUGUCCUGUUGCCGUAUCAACUAUUCCUGGGAAGUUGAAAAUGAGAAACACAAUUGUUAUGCUUGUGGGACACUAUGAGUACUAUGGAGAAGGCGAGAACACUAAGCUACAGCUGAAGAUUGUGCUUGCAGGAAAAAGCAAUGGCAUUAGGAAUGACCUGAUCACAUUGAUCAUCCGAGUGCUACAAGUGCCGUGGGACCCAGGUGGUUUGUAUUUUCAGAACUUUACUCGGCAUCGACUUGAGGACAAGUCGGAUUUUAAGGAGAGGGGAUUGUUAGGGUCUCAACUGGAAUGGGCUUUUGGGCUGAUGCUGCACUAAUGUCUAACUAUGGCCCAUGGAGGCUUGGAUAGGAAGAAUACAAAAAAAGAGAGCAACAGCAACCAUGGAAGGGGCAUCGAUCAACAGAAGAACGAACCGGCGGCGGCGGCGGCGGCGACCUAGAGGCCGGUGGGCUCCUUGUCGAUUCCUUCUCCACCUUUCCUCCUACCUCCACCCCCUUAGUUCUAGAACCCUUCUAGAACUUGUAUUUCUCUUUCUUCUUCUCAUGUUCUCCACCAAGCAAAGAGUUGUAUUGAAUAUUGGUUGCAAUUUCAUUUAGAGAAGUGGGUUGCUAACCCACUUCUCUAAAUGAAAUGGGUUGCUAACAGAGUUAUCCCUGCCAUAUUGCAAAUUAGUGGCCGUCGCUCAAGUAAAUCUGGGCCGCAACUUCUGGACCUGAAAGUCCUCAUGGCCCAAAGGGCGUCUGCUCAUACACACACAGGCCUGCAUGUCUCUCCUCCUCAGUAACAAAUGAAAAAACAUUGUUAAUUCAUAUUUAAUGGGAUUUUGCUUGGAAACCU
rnacentral:lncRNA from 1 species